rnacentral:rRNA from 1 species
AUGGAUCAUCAGCAGAAGGCCGGCGUCCAGUCGGCCGGGUCAAACAAGUCGUCACAGUCGGGCUCGUUCGACUUCGAGCAGGACCAGAACCGCGACACCGACCGCCGGGAGGUCGUCGUCAAGAUCGACGCCGACCCCUCGACCUCGCACGCGGCGGAGGGCACGGGCGGGUCGGGGUCUGGAUCGGGCGAGACGUUCAGCUUCCAGAACCGCCAGCCGCAGUCUUCCGCGUCGCCGGCGCUCGGCGUCAGAGCGGAAUGCAGCCAAGACCCCGCGGACCGCCUCAUCGGCAACUUCCUACGGAAGCAGGCGGCGGCCGGCGGCGAGCUGCUGCUCGAUCCCGACCUGGAAAUAGAGGAGAGUCAGGAGAAUCACGAGACGUGGAGGCCGCCGCGCCCGCCCACGUCCGUCACCAAUUCCCGGGAGCUCCGCGUCUCGUUCCAAGAUGCCCAGAAGCGUCUCGGCCAAUCGUCGUCGUCGGCCUCCUCCUCGGACGCCACCGCCGACAACAAUCAAAACCAGGAUGCGAACGCAAGGGUCGACACCGCCGAGGUGGUACGUUGCACGUCGACAUCGGCCGGGAACGACCUGUUGUCGCGCAGCAGGACGCGCUCCCGGCUGAUGGACCCCCCGCCGCCGUCCAAUGUCCUCCCCGGUGCCGACGGGGAGCGCAACGACCGCAAGUCGUUCGUCAUGAAGGGGCGGCCCAAAUCCGGGCAUUACCGGUCGGGUCUCAUCGGAAAGUCGGGUCUGAUCGGCAAGUCAGGCGGCGCGCUCGACGACGAGGAAGACGACCCGUUCAUCGACGAGGGCGUGACCGCCGCCGACUUCAAGCGCGAGAGGACGGACUGCCUCAUCAUCCUGGAAUGGACCGGCCUGGUGAUCAUCGUGGCCACGCUGGUGUGCAGUUUCAAGAUACGAAGCCUGCAAGGGAAGGAGUUCUCGGGGCUCCCACUCUGGAAGUGGGAGGUGCUGGUGUUCGUGCUCAUCUGCGGCCGCCUCGUCUCCGGCUGGGUCCUCCGCAUCACCGUCUUCUUCGUGGAGCGCAACUUCAUGCUCCGCAAGAAGGUGCUCUACUUCGUGUACGGCGUGCGCCGCGCCGUGCGCACCGUGCUCUGGCUCGGCGCCGCGCUCAUCUCCUGGCACCUUCUCUUCGACAACGGUGACCGGCUGGAGACGCAGACGGUGGUGCUGCACUACGUGACCAAGGUGCUGCUGUGCCUCCUGGUGGCCACCGUGAUCCGGCUCGUCAAGACGCUGCUGGUCAAGGUGCUGGCCUCCUCCUUCCACGUCUCCACCUACUUCGACAGGAUCCAGGACGCGCUCUUCAACCAGUACGUCAUCGAGACGCUGUCCGGCCCGCCGCUGGUGGAUGACGUGCAGCGGCUGCAGAGCGCGGGGGCGACCACGCCGAGGGAGUCCGCCGCUGCGGUGCCCAAGAGCGGGCGCCUAAGCAAGCAGCUGCAGAAGCAGAAGUCGGACGACGGGAUCUCGAUCGACCAGCUCCAAAAGAUGAACCAGAAGAACGUCUCCGCGUGGAGCAUGAAGAGGCUGAUGAGGAUCAUUCGGUACGGAGCGCUGACGACCAUGGACGAGCAGAUCAAGCAUGCGUCCGACCUGGGGGACGAGAUGGCGACGCAGAUACACAGCGAGCACGAGGCCAAGGUUGCUGCCAAGAGGAUCUUCCACAACGUCGCCAAACCUGGAUCCAAGCACAUAUACUUGUCGGAUCUGAUGCGGUUCAUGAGGGAGGAGGAGGCUGUGAAAGCCAUGGAUCUCUUCGAAGGAGCCAAGGAGAACAACAGGGUCAGCAAGCGAGCGCUCAAGAACUGGGUGGUGAACGCGUUCAGGGAGCGCAAGGCCCUGGCCCUGACGCUCAACGACACCAAGACGGCGGUGAACAAGCUCCACCAGAUGGCCAACGUGCUGGUGGCGCUCAUCGUGCUCGCGCUGUGGCUCCUCAUCCUGGGGAUCGCCACCACGCGCCUCUUCGUCCUCCUCAGCUCGCAGCUCGUCCUCGCGGUCUUCAUGUUCGGCAACACCCUCAAGACCGUCUUCGAGGCCAUCGUCUUCCUGUUCAUCGUGCACCCUUUCGACGUCGGCGAUCGCUGCGAGGUCGACGGCAUGCAGGUGGUCGUCGAGGAGAUGAACAUCCUGACGACGAUCUUCCUCCGACACGACAACCUCAAGAUCUACUAUCCCAACAGCCAGCUCGCCGUCUUGCCCAUCAUGAACUACUACCGGAGUCCUGACAUGGGAGACGCAGUUGACUUCUCCGUUAACGUCGCUACGCCGGCGGAGAAGCUGGCCCUCAUGAAGGAAAGGCUGAUGCAUUAUCUCGACAACAAGAAAGAACAUUGGUACCCUGGCUCCAUGAUCGUGCUCCGCGACAUUGAUGAUACAAACCGACUCAAGAUAACCAUAUGGUGCCGCCACACCAUCAACUUCCAGGACAUAGGGAUGAGAUUUGAGAGGAGGGAGCUGAUUCUCCAGGAGAUGAUGAAGAUUCUAAGAGAACUCGACAUCGAAUACCGGAUGUUGCAACUCGACAUCAAUGUUCGGAACGUGCCCCCUAUCCAUUCUAAUAGGAUGCCAACAACAUGGAACACAAAUUUUUGA